UGGACAUUGUGCGGAAGUCUCUCGCACUAUGUGUAGCAUGAGUGGAUGUCUGAACCACGUGACCAGCCCUCUUCUCCUACCUGAUCCAGCAGAGAAGUGGGCUUCAAAAAGGAAUCCUCCUGAAACUUAAGAGGAAUAAGAGCUGCCUGAAGGGAAACAAGAAUGGGAAGCAUCCUUAAAAUGACUGAUUUACAAUUGGCAAGGAGAUCCAAUAUGAAAAUUAUAGCUCUCCAUUUUAAAGGGUCUCUGGUGUAACCUCAAAUUCACAAGGUAGCCGAGGAUAACUUUGGAUACCUGAUCAUCCUGCCUCCACGUCCCAACCACUGGGACGACAAAACAACCUCCAUGUGUUCCAACCAGUGUUUGCAUACAGUGUUUGUUGGACAUAAGGAAUGCCUUUGACACGAACCUAAAGGUACACGCUUUGACUUUCUUUCUGAAAGUCGGAUCACUCCCCAGGAGAAACCUAUCUAUAUAAAUAGCAGCAAAGAGGUUUUAAUGAGAUCCUAACCAGAAAGCUCUCUUCACCUUCCUGAUUGGUGGGUAAGGGCAAGAAAACAAACCAGAAAGUCUUCCUGAUACCUUCAGAAGGAUCCAGAGCAGGCAAGGCUGGAAGCUCCUCUGGCCGGGGCCUGGAUAAAGCCCCUGGAGCCUUGGUGAAGACCUGGAAUUAUACUCAAGGGCCCAAAUCCUUUUAACCAGCAUUGGUUAAACAAAAAGAGAACUAGAGAACUGAGAGGGACUUCAUGCACCCCUCAAAGGGGCCUACCUUCCUAUACUGUCAGUGGAAGGCCCCAGACAGAUAGGGGUGGUGAUUUGAGAAUAAAGGGGUUUCUAGAACACACACCUGUGCUGGGGGUUGGGCAGUGGAAUUCUGAUAUUAUGGUUUCCCGUAGUCUCCCUUGGAAAGUGUGUGUAUCACUUCUCUAAAUUUCAAAAGAACAAUGCUUUAAAGAAUUUCAAAAGAACAAUGACCUGGAAGAAAAGCCAGCAUAGAGUUAUUUGCUUACUUGAUUGAAUCAUGUGGCUGGUGCGGGAGAAUUAUCUGUAUUCUGUCAAUCAUAUCUUAAUAAAACGCUGAUUGGCCAGGCAGGCAGU